CCUGGUUGAUCCUGCCAGUAGUCAUAUGCUUGUCUCAAAGAUUAAGCCAUGCAUGUGUAAGCACACACUGUUUUAAAAGUGAAGCCGCGAAUGGCUCAUUACAACAGCCACAGUUUAUUAGAACUUACAAUCAUGGAUAACUGUGGUAAUUCUAGAGCUAAUACACGCACAAAAACUUCAACUGAAUUGGUUGAAGUGCUUUUAUUAGAACAAAAACCGAACGGCGUUUGACGAAUGUUGAACGUCGAAACUGUUUGGUGAAUCUGAAUAACUAUUUCUGAUCGCAUGGUCUAGCACCGGCGACAUCACUUUCAAGUGUCUGCCUUAUCAACCUUCGAUGGUAGUCUAUGCGACUACCAUGGUGAUAACGGGUAACGGAGAAUCAGGGUUCGACUCCGGAGAGGGAGCCUGAGAAACGGCUACCACAUCCAAGGAAGGCAGCAGGCGCGCAAAUUACCCACUCCCAGCUUGGGGAGGUAGUGACGAAAAAUAACGAGACGAUUCUCGUUUGAGAAACGUUAUCGAAAUGAGUACGCUUUACACACGCUAACGAGUAGCAAUUGGAGGGCAAGUCUGGUGCCAGCAGCCGCGGUAAUUCCAGCUCCAAUAGCGUAUAUUAAAGUUGCUGCGGUUAAAACGCUCGUAGUUGAAUUGUGGUCUUAGACAACAGUCCCCCUACAAAGGUGUGGCACGGUUGCUCGAGAUCUUCAUUCGUGGUUGCUGUUGUUGCUCUUCAUUGAGUGUCAAUGGUGCCUCGAGAUUUUACUUUGAAAAAAUUAGAGUGCUCAAAGCAGGUUGUGAUGCCUGAAUAAUGGUGCAUGGAAUAAUAGAAUACGAUCUCGGUUCUAUUUUGUUGGUUUUCGAACCGGGGAUAAUGAUUGAAAGGAACAGACGGGGGCAUUCGUAUUGCUGCGUUAGAGGUGAAAUUCUUGGAUCGCAGCAAGAUGAACAAUUGCGAAAGCAUUUGCCAAGAAUGUUUUCAUUAAUCAAGAACGAAAGUUAGAGGUUCGAAGGCGAUCAGAUACCGCCCUAGUUCUAACGGUAAACUAUGCCAACCAGCGAUUCGCCGAAGUUCAUUUAAGACUCGGCGAGCAGCUUCCGGGAAACCAAAGUGUUUCGGUUCCGGGGGAAGUAUGGUUGCAAAGCUGAAACUUAAAGGAAUUGACGGAAGGGCACCACCAGGAGUGGAGCCUGCGGCUUAAUUUGACUCAACACGGGAAAACUCACCCGGCCCGGACACUGGAAGGAUUGACAGAUUGACAGCUCUUUCUUGAUUCAGUGGGUAGUGGUGCAUGGCCGUUCUUAGUUGGUGGAGCGAUUUGUCUGGUUAAUUCCGAUAACGAACGAGACUCUACCCUAUUAAAUAGUGACAGUAUUGUAUUUUUUGUGCUGAUCACUUCUUAGAGGGACUGGCAAAUUGAAAGCUGCACGAAAAAGAGCAAUAACAGGUCUGUGAUGCCCUUCGAUGUCCGGGGCUGCACGCGCGCUACAAUGAAAGCGUCAACGUGAGUUACGUCCUUACCUGAAAAGGUUUGGCAAUCGAAUGAAACGUUUUCUUGAAUGGAAUAGGGAAUUGCAAUUGUUUCCCUUGAACGAGGAAUUCCCAGUAAGCGUGAGUCAUUAGCUCGCGUUGAUUACGUCCCUGCCCUUUGUACACACCGCCAGAAUACGCAGCCGCCUACGUGAACGAAGGUAUGAUUCAUUACUCGAUGCCGGGUCGUCGUUUUGCGCCCCAC
rnacentral:rRNA from 1 species